GAUGAACGCUGGCGGCGUGCUUAACACAUGCAAGUCGAACGGAAAGGCCUCAGCUUGCUGGGGUGCUCGAGUGGCGAACGGGUGAGUAACACGUAGGUGAUCUGCCUUUCACUUCGGGAUAAGCUUGGGAAACUGGGUCUAAUACCGGAUAUUCACUGCACCGUGGUUGGUGUGGUGGAAAGCUUUUGCGGUGGGAGAUGAGCUUGCGGCCUAUCAGCUUGUUGGUGGGGUAAUGGCCUACCAAGGCGGCGACGGGUAGCCGGCCUGAGAGGGUGUGCGGCCACAUUGGGACUGAGAUACGGCCCAGACUCCUACGGGAGGCAGCAGUGGGGAAUUUUGCACAAUGGGCGGAAGCCUGAUGCAGCGACGCCGUGUGGGGGAUGAAGGCCUUCGGGUUGUAAACUCCUUUCGUCAGGGACGAAGUUUGUUUGACGGUACCUGGAUAAGAAGCACCGGCUAACUACGUG
rnacentral:rRNA from 1 species